AUGCUCAUUUUCCAUGAAAAAAAUGCCAUAGAAAGGAUCCUGAAGAUGCACUCUGGGCAUAUUUAUGUAUUCAGCUACGCUCUACUUUUAUCUGUUGUUUUUUGUUUUUUAAAAAAAAUUUUUCUUUUUAUUUGAUGAAAACUUGAUUUUUAGUGAUUAAGGAAACAGAGAAGUGAAGUGAAGGAGAAAAAAAUAUCAAAGUGCAUGGAAGGCAUCCAAAUUACUGGGAGGUAAGCUAGAGUGGAAACUUAGUGCAGAUUAAAUGUUCUAUGGUAUAUGUAUUUUCCUGGGUAUAAGGACAGGGGAGACUGGAGAAAAAAAAAAAUUCUUUAAAAUAUGUAGCUCUAGGAGCAUAGGAUUAAGUCCAUAAGAUCCAGGAAAAGUAGAUUAAUAUUUUUGGGUCAUUAGAUUUCUUGUUAUAACAUUUGAACUUCAUUUACUAAAAAAUGGCAAGUUCUGACUCUUGUAACAGACAAUUAGAGAAGUGUAUU
rnacentral:lncRNA from 13 species